rnacentral:rRNA from 1 species
UAGUUGGUAAGGUAACGGCUUACCAAGGCGACGAUCAGUAGCCGACCUGAGAGGGUGAUCGGCCACAUUGGAACUGAGACACGGUCCAAACUCCUACGGGAGGCAGCAGUGGGGAAUAUUGCACAAUGGGCGAAAGCCUGAUGCAGCAACGCCGCGUGAGUGAUGAAGGCCUUCGGGUCGGAAAACUCUGUCCUCAAGGAAGAUAAUGACGGUACUUGAGGAGGAAGCCCCGGCUAACUACGUGCCAGCAGCCGCGGUAAUACGUAGGGGGCUAGCGUUAUCCGGAUUUACUGGGCGUAAAGGGUGCGUAGGCGGUCUUUCAAGUCAGGAGUGAAAGGCUACG